rnacentral:rRNA from 1 species
GAUGAACGCUGGCGGCGUGCCUAAUACAUGCAAGUCGAGCGAACAGACGAGGAGCUUGCUCCUCUGACGUUAGCGGCGGACGGGUGAGUAACACGUGGAUAACCUACCUAUAAGACUGGGAUAACUUCGGGAAACCGGAGCUAAUACCGGAUAAUAUAUUGAACCGCAUGGUUCAAUAGUGAAAGACGGUUUUGCUGUCACUUAUAGAUGGAUCCGCGCCGCAUUAGCUAGUUGGUAAGGUAACGGCUUACCAAGGCGACGAUGCGUAGCCGACCUGAGAGGGUGCUCGGCCACCCUGGAACUGAGACACGGUCCAGACUCCUACGGGAGGCAGCAGUAGGGAAUCUUCCGCAAUGGGCGAAAGCCUGACGGAGCAACGCCGCGUGAGUGAUGAAGGUCUUCGGAUCGUAAAACUCUGUUAUUAGGGAAGAACAAAUGUGUAAGUAACUAUGCACGUCUUGACGGUACCUAAUCAGAAAGCCACGGCUAACUACGU